ACCCCCGUAGCUCAACGGACAGAGUGACAGCCUACGAAGCUGAGGAUGGAAGUUCGAUUCUUCCCGGGGGGACCA
rnacentral:tRNA from 1 species